rnacentral:rRNA from 1 species
AGAGUUUGAUCCUGGCUCAGGAUGAACGCUGGCGGCGUGCCUAACACAUGCAAGUCGAACGGACUUUUCAUGAAGCCUAGCGAUUGAAAAGUUAGUGGCGGACGGGUGAGUAACGCGUGGGUAACCUGCCUUGUACUGGGGGACAACAGUUGGAAACGACUGCUAAUACCGCAUAAGCGCACAGCUUCGCAUGAAGCAGUGUGAAAAACUCCGGUGGUACAAGAUGGACCCGCGUCUGAUUAGCUGGUUGGUGAGGUAACGGCCCACCAAGGCAACGAUCAGUAGCCGGCCUGAGAGGGUGAACGGCCACAUUGGGACUGAGACACGGCCCAAACUCCUACGGGAGGCAGCAGUGGGGAAUAUUGCACAAUGGGGGAAACCCUGAUGCAGCGACGCCGCGUGAGUGAAGAAGUAUUUCGGUAUGUAAAGCUCUAUCAGCAGGGAAGAAAAUGACGGUACCUGACUAAGAAGCCCCGGCUAACUACGUGCCAGCAGCCGCGGUAAUACGUAGGGGGCAAGCGUUAUCCGGAUUUACUGGGUGUAAAGGGAGCGUAGACGGUUUUGCAAGUCUGAAGUGAAAGCCCGGGGCUUAACCCCGGGACUGCUUUGGAAACUGUAGAACUAGAGUGCAGGAGAGGUAAGUGGAAUUCCUAGUGUAGCGGUGAAAUGCGUAGAUAUUAGGAGGAACACCAGUGGCGAAGGCGGCUUACUGGACAGUAACUGACGUUGAGGCUCGAAAGCGUGGGGAGCAAACAGGAUUAGAUACCCUGGUAGUCCACGCCGUAAACG